rnacentral:lncRNA from 1 species
GAAGUGGAGAUGUUCAGUGAGCAGUCUCAGCAUGGCGACCGUCGGUAUCUCUACAGAGCUCAAGUAGAUGCAGUUUUGACUACCGAAAGAACGAAUGUUUAUGGUAACAUCAAAGGCAUGAAAUACAAGGAAAUUAGAGAGAAUUUUGAGAGGAAUUUUCAUAAUGCAGGUCCAACAGACAAGGCUAUCCGUGAAUUAGAGAUAAAAUUUUAACAAAUGUUAAAUCGCUCUGAGCUCUAUAGAGAUGUCGACGGUCGCCAUGCGGAGACUGCUCACUGAACAUUUUUAGAGAACCAUCACUGAUAUCUCUACAGAGCUCAGAGAGAUGCAGAAUCGACCACCGAAAGAACGAGUUUUUGUGAGUAACAUCAAAUGUAUGAAAUGCACCGAAAUUAGAGAGAAUUUUGAGAGGAAUUUUCAUAAUGCAGGUCCAACAGACAAAGCUAUCUAUGAAUUAGAGAUGAAAUUUUAACAAAUGCGGC